UACGUAGGGUGCAAGCGUUGUCCGGAAUUAUUGGGCGUAAAGAGCUCGUAGGCGGUCUGUCGCGUCUGCUGUGAAAACUCAGGGCUCAACCUCGAGACGCCGGUGGAAACCAUCAGGCUAGAGUCCGGAAGAGGAGAGUGGAAUUCCUGGUGUAGCGGUGAAAUGCGCAGAUAUCAGGAAGAACACCCGUGGCUAAGGCGGCUCUCUAGUACGGUACUGACGCUGAGACGCGAAAGCGUGGGGAGCAAACAGG
rnacentral:rRNA from 1 species